rnacentral:rRNA from 1 species
GAUGAACGCUGACAGCAUGCUUAACACAUGCAAGUCAACUUGAAUGUGGGUUUUUAACUUAGGUUUGGGUGGCGGACGGGUGAGUAACGCGUAAAGAACUUGCCUCACAGCUAGGGACAACAUUUGGAAACGAAUGCUAAUACCCAAUAUUAUGAUAAUAGGGCAUCCUAUAAUUAUGAAAGCUAUAAGCGCUGUGAGAGAGCUUUGCGUCCCAUUAGCUAGUUGGAGAGGUAACGGCUCACCAAGGCGAUGAUGGGUAGCCGGCCUGAGAGGGUGAUCGGCCACAAGGGGACUGGGAAACGGCCAUUACUCCAACGGGAGGCAGCGGUGGGGAAUAUUGGAAAAGGGACCGUGAGUCUGAUCCAGAAAUUCUGUGUGCAAGAUGAAGUUUUUCGGAAUGAAAAGUGCUUUCAGUUGGGAAGAAACAAAUGACGGUACCAACAGAAGAAGUGACGGCUAAAUACGUG